rnacentral:rRNA from 1 species
CCCGGGCCCCCCCCAAAAUUUGGGGGGUUUCCCCCCCCAUUGUACCUAAUCCCCCUUGGAAACCCUAAAAAUCCGUUAAAAUUGGGGGCCCCCCCAAAGGGGAACCUUGGGGUUAAUUGACCACAGAACCCCCCGGUUUUCCCCUGGGGCCCCUAAAAAAAAAUGUUUUCCCGGGGCAGGGGCCAAGGGGCAAUGGUUCAAUCGUUCGUUAACCGUUGUAGUCCCGAAAUCAACCCUUUAUGUUAGUCCCAUCAAAGUUGCUUAAGGGACUGCGGUUACCCCGGAGGAAGGUGGGAUGCGUCAAAUCAUCAUCCCCUUAUGCGUGGCUCCGUGCAACAAUGGCGAUACGGGCAGUUGCAACUCGGAGAGGGAGUAUCCGAUAAAGUCGUUCCAGUUCGGAUUGUAGGCUGCUACUCGCGUACAUAACCGGAAUCGAGUAAUCGCGGAUCAGCAUCCGGGUAAUGGUUCCGGGCUUGUACACUACCGCCUGUCACGACCUGAGAGUUUGACACCCAAGUCGGGAGGUAACGCUUGGAGCCAGCCGCGAAACUGGCUCACC